rnacentral:tRNA from 1 species
AUUUAAAUAGCUUAAUUAGAGCAUAAUAUUGAAGAUAUUAGGGUAACUAUACGUUUUUAAAUA